UGCAUUAGUAGCUCAGUUCUAGAGCGCCG
rnacentral:tRNA from 1 species